CAGCCGCCGCGGGAAUACGAAGGGUGCAAGCGUUAAUCGGAAUUACUGGGCGUAAAGCGUGCGUAGGCGGUGAGUUAAGUCUGCUGUGAAAUCCCCGGGCUCAACCUGGGAAUGGCAGUGGAUACUGGCUCGCUAGAGUGUGUCAGAGGGGGGUAGAAUUCCACGUGUAGCAGUGAAAUGCGUAGAGAUGUGGAGGAAUACCGAUGGCGAAGGCAGCCCCCUGGGCCAAUACUGACGCUCAUGCACGAAAGCGUGGGGAGCAAACAGGAUUAGAUACCCGUGUAGUCCCUGUCUCUUAUAA
rnacentral:rRNA from 1 species